rnacentral:lncRNA from 1 species
AGAUCCAGAGAGGAAACAUCGGGGCUGUACCCGUGGACUCAAGGACUCAGCUCUGCCCUGCGGUGGGCACGCAGAUGGACAUAGCCUCGACAGGUGGACGUGGUUGUGGGCGCGUGACAUGAGGAGCCAGAGACACGCAGAAUGAGGUUUCUCCUGAGCAGGAAGCGUGCCCGUGAGCAACCAGCUGAGAAGUCGACCCAUCACGUGUGAUAAUGAGAAAGUCCCGUCGAGGCCAGACCCCGCUGUCCUUGGAGAGGUGUUGAGUUGAUUUCUUCCAAGGGGUGAGGGAGCGAUCCAGGUUCCCUGCCCAGCGGGUGCUCUGCCUCCCUAGUUCCGGAGGCUGGACUUUCAAGACCUGCUGAGAGCCAUCUUCCUGGUUCAUCAAUGGACGUUCUCUCCAUCAGGACGGAGACAAGACAGUUCCUUCUUACCCGUGAGAGAUACAUGUAUUGUCCAUGACUCCGCAGGAAAUUGAUUUCCCGAACCCAAUGCAGAGAUGGGGAAGGGGGGAGCCAAAAGAAGGGUUUGCUGUCCAGCUUUGGCGCCGGAGGAAAAGUCAGCCCCCAGAAGCUAAGCACUGAGAAGUCCAGUCUUCCACAUCCAGGGGUUUCCAGAUUCCCACUCGUGUAAGAAAUGCUGCGUGAUGUCCCAGUUUUUGUGCUUUUCUUGAGAUGUGGUCCCCUUGGAGGAGCUUCCCCCGCCAGGAUGGAAUUUCAGAGCUUUCGGCUCGAGAAGAAGGGAAAUGCCCCGAACAGCCACCCCCCAGGCCCCUUGUGGCCGCUGAGAAGUUGGGGAGGAUGCAGCCAUAAAGGAGGAUGUGAAAAGUAGGCGAGAUCGCAAGGCACGAAUCUUGGAAUCUUCGUGUUUCAUCGGGAAGGCAGAGGAGGAAGGAAUCUGCGAGGUGCAGCCGCCUCUUCUGACCUCAGGAUGGACGGAGAGGGCGUGAAGGACCCGUCAGUGACCAGCUGUUGCACAGAGAGCCCAGGGGAAGGGGGUGCCCUGGCGGGCACAUGGGAACCGAUGCUGCGGCUCACGAGAAGUUGGAGGAACAAACUGCUUUGUCCCAGGAGAAGAGGAGCAGGAUGGAACGGACGCCCGCUGUAAUCGUGGGCGGAACCGGAGGGACGGACGCAACGCUUGGCGCUUCCGAUUCUGACAGUGGCUGACCUCACGGGAGAUGGAUGGGGGAGGGUCCAGAUGUUUCGAUGAGGAAACGGAGGCCACUAAGUGUUGUGUAACGUCCCAAGGGGACCCAGCUCUGAAGCGGUGGAGUCAGAAUGGGUUGCUUAACAGCCACCCCCACCCUCGGCUCGGAAGACGUCCACACCCAGGGCCACACCCACAGCGUAUGGAAAUUGCCAGGCUGAGCUGAUUCGGAGCUGAAGCUGCUGCCCUGCGCCACCGCCACAGCAACGCGGCAUCCGAAACGGGUCUGUAAUCUACACCACAGCGCACGGCAACAUCAGAUCCUUAACCCACUGGGGGAAGCCAGGGAUCGAACCCACAUCCUCAGGGAUACUAGUUGGCUUCAUUCCCGCUGAGCCACGAUGGGAAUGCCCCUUUAUCCCAGUUUGAAUUUAGGAAUCUGACCAGGGGCUCUUUUUGAGGUGAUUAUGGAGAGAUUAUGGGGAAAAUAGAAUAUUCCUGUUUUACCAAAUGUCAUCGAACCUUUACAGAAAGCUCCAUUAUAUGGCCAUGUAUACAUUGUAUGCAAUUAAAUACAAGGAGAUACAAUGGUAUAUAAAUACACACGUAUGCAUUCUUUAUACAUACACAUGGCUGUUUAUAACCGCUCUGGGAAUCCCUUUGUUUCCAUCCCUAUGUUGGUGGGAACAGGGUGGGGGGUGCUUUGGUGCUGCAGCUUUGUCGUGGCAGGUUGAAGAGUCAGACACACCAUCCAUCAUCGGGGGCUCCCUGGGGACUCCCCAGGGACUCCUGUGAUGGCUUCGCCGGUGGGCAACAAGAGAGAGCCAGGUCUGGCUUUGCAGGUGGACGAGAGCCUCAAGCUCCCACUGGACUCGUGGGGUCCACGUCUCAGUCCCGUGGGUGGAACGUGUCUACAGGUACCUGUCAGGUUUGGGCAGUGACCUGGGAGAAUGUUUACCAGGCUGGUCCUGGGCUGGUACCCACGGUGUGUGGUUGGGUGAGUCCAGGCUGGUCCUGCGAUGGCUGAGGACAUGCAGGCUGGUCCUGGGCUGGUACCCACGGUGUGCGGUUGGAUGAACGGAGCGUGGGGAGAAGAGGAAGAUGCUGGUGGGGUCUCCGUGGGUCCUCCGGUGCUCUGCAUCCUGCCCUGGGUCGCCCUGGGCAUCCCAAAGCUUUGUCUGGCAAGGACAGGUCCCUGUCUCCCACCAACAGCCCUUCUGGUCCCUCAGAGCCUCAGCUGCUGUGCCCCCGGCGGGGGGGCGGGGAGGCGGGGGGACAGUUACCACAAUUACACUUUUCCUAACACUGCUUUACGACGCUGAACCUCCUUGACUUCCGAAGACCUCAUUAGCAGAACCUCGGGCUCGAUGGACAGAUAAAGCGUUAAACCAGGCUGUGAUUCCCGCAUUCCUGCCUUUUUCCGCUUCUGAGAUGGGAACUCCGCCAAAGGAGAAACUAUUUCUCUGAGAAUUGGAUUGGUUGAAAAGCAUAUGCAUGGAUGUCGUGCCAGUGGAAUCCCAGCACGGACUUUUCAUCCUUCCUCUCUCUUUUUUUCACCUUUUGGUUUGGCGUGACUUUUUCUUUUUUUUUUUUUUAGUCUUCUUAGUGCUGAAGGCACCUCCGAAAAGCACACACAGAAAAGAACUUAACAGGUUUUCUCUUCGUAAAGUAUUUCACGGUCUAACGUGUCAGUGUCUUCCAUUUGCAUGUGUGUGUUUCCACCAAGAAAAAUACAUCCUUCUGCCGGCACAUGAAGUUAAACUUCACAGUCAAAUAAUGGAGCACACCUCGCCCGAACGCCAGAGGCAUGAAGCAAACGGAUUCUUCUCUCCCUGGCAACCUUGGAAAUGUGCUCAGUUAUUUUUAUGGAUUCUUUGAGCCAACAUAAAAUGCAAGGGGUAUUCCAGCUGGGUAAUUAAAAUCCUAAUGUUCGUGAAGUUUGUGAAAUUCAUGCCUCAUCCCCCUCAGUUGUCUGUGAUCCAAGGAUCCCCCAGGCAUCUUUCUCUCCUCUCAACUGUUCUUUUUCCUUUUUUAAUUAUUUUUUUAGGGUCCCACCCACAGCGUAUGGAGGUUCCCAGGUGAGGGGUCGAAUCGGAGCUGCAGCUGCAGGUCUACACCACAGCCACAGCCACACCGGAUCCGAGCCUCAUCUGCAAACCACACCACCGCUCACGGCAACACCGGACCCUUAACCCAUGGAGUGAGGCCAGGGAUCCAACCUGCAUCGUCAUGGAUACUAGUGGGAUUCUUAACUCGCUGAGCGCUCCCCUCACCCCUGGGAACUCCUUGUAGCCCUAAUAUAAACCCCCAUCAUGGAGCAGAAGCAAUAUUGUAGGGCUUUCCUGGAAGAAGCCCAGACUUUGACCCCCGGGUGUGAUGUUUUAUUUCUCUGAAACUCCAAGACUUUUCAGUGGGUUGAGGGGACCCAAGGAUCCGCUCCAGGAUUACAGAAACGGUGAUGGAUGGAUUAACUGUUCCACGGUCGCCGUGGCUGUGGUGGAGGCCGGCAGCUCUCAUUCAACCCCUAGCCUGGGAACAUCCAUGUGCCACGUGGCCCUAAAAAGCACACACACACACGAAGGCUGCCAUUGCAUAUGUACAUGGAGCGGAUGGCCGACAGGGACCUGCUGUCGAGCACAGAGAACUUGACCCAAUAUUCCACGAUCAUCUCUGUGGGAAAGAAUCUGAGAGAGAAUGCACGUGUGUACAUGUGUCUCUCCAUCCCUUUGUCGUCCAGCAGAAACCAUCACAGCCUCGCACGUUAACUCUACUUCAGUACAACGUGAAAAAACAGAAAUAAGAAUACAAUAAAACAUGGCCGUUGCAGCAGGUGGGAAACAGAAGAGCAGGCACCUGUGACCUUGGGGUAUACCCAGAAGGCCAUGGUGGAUCAAAGUUAUUUUCCUUUUCAAAGAAUCCAAAAAAGAAUAUGCACGUGUGUGAGUGUGUGUGUGCAUGCGUGUGCUUUUAUGUGUAAAUGAACCACUUUGCUGUACACUUGACGCUAGCAGAGCACUGGAAAUCCAUUAUACUCAACUGGAGUAACCAGAAGGCGAUGGUGGAUCCAAUUAUUUUCCUUCUCCAAGAAUCUGAAAAGGCAUCCAUGUGCGGGGUACGUCGGUGUGUGUACAGGAAUCACUUUGCUGGACCCUCGAAAUGAACACGACACAGGACGUGAAUUAUACGCCAUUUGAAUACCCAGAACGCCACGGUGGAUCAAAGUUAUUUUCCUUUUCAAAGGAUCUACAAAGAAGAAUGUGUGUGUCUGGGUGAAACUCCAAGCCCUCUCCAUGGGUUGAGCGGACCCGAGGGUGGCAGGAGGAUUACAGAAAGGGUGAUGGGUGAACUGUCACACUGGUGCUGAGGCUGUGGGGGAGGCUGGCCCCUGCAGCUCCCGUUAGACCCCUAGCCCGGGAACAUCCAUGUGCCGCAGGUGCAGCCCUGAAAU